rnacentral:tRNA from 4 species
UGCCGGAAUAGCUCAG